rnacentral:tRNA from 1 species
AUAAGGUGUUUAGCACAUUAGAUUUUCAUUUUAAAGGGGUAUUUUACUAUA